GCCGUCGACCGGCGCACGGGUGAGUAACGCGUAUCCCAACCUGCCCAUCACUUGGGGAUAACCUUGCGAAAGUAAGACUAAUACCCAAUGACGUCUCUAGAAGACAUCUGAAAGAGAUUAAAGAUUUAUCGGUGAUGGAUGGGGAUGCGUCUGAUUAGCUUGUUGGCGGGGUAACGGCCCACCAAGGCGACGAUCAGUAGGGGUUCUGAGAGGAAAGGUCCCCCACAUUGGAACUGAGACACGGUCCAAACUCCUACGGGAGGCAGCAGUGAGGAAUAUUGGUCAAUGGACGAGAGUCUGAACCAGCCAAGUAGCGUGCAGGAAGACGGCCCUAUGGGUUGUAAACUGCUUUUAUAAGGGAAUAAAGUGAGUCUCGUGAGACUUUUUGCAUGUACCUUAUGAAUAAGGACCGGCUAAUUCCGUG
rnacentral:rRNA from 1 species